UAGGUUUGUCGUCAUUUUCGGCCACGUCAGAGAUCGGCGCUUGGCAUCGGCAUACUCCCCUUAACGCUCAGAACAAGAUCGAAGUCUUUUUCAACGUCAAACCAUCUUCGUCUGGGAAAGAUAAAGACGCAGUCACAAGCUACUGUUUGAUGUAAGGCUGAUUUAACAAGUCGACUUCGUCGUUUUGUGCUGAAAACGUCAUCAUACUGGGCUGACAACGUCAUCAUUUUGUGACCUCAAUUCUGACAGCGUAGUUAACACAGAAGACACACCGAGGACACUAUAUUUCGCUCUGAUAUCGUCAUCGUUUUUGUGCCUAUUACGUCAUCAAACAGGGUACGCAUCUCCUGUGUGGAAUCAUCACAAUCCGGACGCUAUAUUGCCAAGUAAUUGCAACAGAACAUCAUUUCUGACAAUCCUCGCUUACCUUGCAUUCGACCGCUUGACAGCACGACUGUAUAAACAGACUUCACACCUCACUCAAGACACACCGUGUUAAAACAAGCAUCCGUUACACAAGCGACAUUUGGAUGAGGUUUUUCUUCGUGAGUUCUUCAACGUUCACCACAGCCUUUUUUUUACCAACUGUACUGCAUUGUGGGACUUUAGCGCCCACCCACGAAGACCCUCUGUUGGACGGCAAGAAGGAUAACAGCAGUCUAAUUCUUGCGUGUUCUGAUAAAACAAGUGUUAGUACUAGUGACGUUUGGAUGAGGCUUUUCUUCGUGAGUUCUUCAACGUUCACAACGUUUCUUCCCAACUCUGCUGCAUUGUGCGACUUCAGCGCAAACCCUGCUUUGAACGCCAAGUAGGAUAACUGCACGUCUUGUUAUUCUUGCGCAUUCGUUCGACCGUGAGUGAGUAGAUCAAUUUGUUGACUGGCUGACUGACUGACUGGCUGACUGACCUUCGUCGUCAUCAAAUCGGAGCGGCUAAUUAAGUUGUGGUCACGCUAACGUUGUGUUUACUGCAACAAGGAAGCUGGCGUCCAAAUAAAUAAUUUCGUUUUGUUUUUUAUUUAUUCGAUUUGAAGGCUGGUUGUUGCCAUCAUGAAAUAACAGUUUUUCCCCACAAAAGUUUGGUGGGGGAAGCUAUAUAUAUAUAUAUAUAUAUAUAUAUAUAGCAAUCGUUCUCUUUAAAUAAGACUCCAACUCAAAUCUACAUCAGCGGGGAGAACGGCGUUGCAUCAAAUUGGCGUGAGAUUAAAGUGAUCUGAUAUAAGUUGGUGUGACAUCUAGUUGCCUUGACAUCAAAAUAUCUUGGCAUUUAGUUGGUGUUAUAUUAAGUGACAAAUUGGUUUGAUAUCUUGUUGAAGCAAGACGUAAAACAUUAUCCUUAUCAGUGUAAUUAACACUAACCCAACAGACAAUUUGAGAUACUCUGGUCAGAGAGGUGGGCACACUACCACCUUCACACCCUACCUGGGGUUAUCGUAUCUAUCUCCUUUUUUUUAUCCUAACUCUAAAGACCACACAAUCUGUUUCGGAAUUUUGCAACUUAGAGGUGUAUACCAGAACGACAGUGUUAGAAAGGAGGUGAGACAUUUGACAGCUUAUCAGUUUACGCCUCAGCUGUAUACGAAAGUUAAGGUGAAAGAUUUAGGAAACACACUUUCUUUCGGAAUUUUGCAACUCAAAAGUUUACAUCAGCCGUUCUCAAACGUUGGAUGUCUGAGAUUCUGAAGGAAAAAUUCUCUUUCUGGAAUUUGACAACUGGGAAUAUUUAACCUGACCGCACGAUUCUCAAAAGGAGGAGGAAAGAGGAGAAAGGAGUGUGGUGAAGGAGAGAGGAGAAAAAGGGAGGAGAAGAAGCGUGGGGCGUGAAGAAGGAGUGUGGAGAAGGAAGGAGAAGGAGGCAGGAGAAAGAGAGAGGAGAUCCCUCAGGGUCCUUCAUGUAACACAAACUUGUUAUCCUUUUCUCUGAGAUUUUCUACUCCUCACAAAUCAAUGGCGCUUUUUGCCUACGCAAGUCUCCGUUGUUACAAACUGUGUUACCGCAAAAAAGAACGGGACGCCGCCUCGCGGUGAAAGGGGCAUAACUCUCGCUACCAUAGAGUAAGAGAAACGUUGGGAUUUUUUUCUCCUCUGGAGUUGUCUGUGCUAGUGGAAAGACGAACUACGGUAUAGCUGUCGUGGGCACUGCUUGUGAAGAAACACUUUACAGU